rnacentral:rRNA from 1 species
CAAUAGCGUAUAUUAAAGUUGUUGCAGUUAAAAAGCUCGUAGUUGGAUUUCUGGUUGAAGCGACCGGUCGGGCGUUGAUUCGUCUGCACUGGAGUCGGUUUUGGCCAUCCUCUAGGAAAGUGCGUCUGGUAUUAAGUUAUCGGGCGUAUGAUCCUGGUCUUUUACUGUGAAAAAAUUAGAGUGUUUAAAGCAGGCCUUCGCCUUGAAUACAUUAGCAUGGAAUAAUAAGAUAGGACUUUGGUCUAUUUUGUUGGUUUGCAGACCGAAGUAAUGAUUAAUAGGGAUAGUUGGGGGUAUUUAUAUUCCGAUGUCAGAGGUGAAAUUCUUAGAUUUUCGGAAGAUAAACAGCUGCGAAAGCGUCUGCCAAGGAUGUUUUCAUUAA